rnacentral:tRNA from 1 species
AGGGAGACCUAAUUCCGGUAGGAGACGAAAAAAAAGUAGUCCCAACCAAGAAUCAAUCCCAAAAGGUCGGAGCGAGGCAAAAUUGGCUUUCAAACUAGGUUCUGGGUUCACACAAGACCUGAAUCAGGAACAAGGGCUAUUAGCUCAGGUGGUUAGAGCGCACCCCUGAUAAGGGUGAGGUCCCUGGUUCGAGUCCAGGAUGGCCCACCUGCACAGGUGGAAGAAAGAAAAAAAGCUCCGAAUCAGCACCUUAUCUUACUUAUAUAGUAAGAGAGAAUGCUGGCUCUGAGUACAGAGUCCAGAGGAACCUUGAAAACUGCAUAGAGCUAGGUGAAAAAGCCAAAAAAGAAGACCGCAAGGUCAAGCUAAUAAGGGCUAACGGUGGAUACCUAG